GCGUUGAUAGGUGCCUCCCAGGGCCGGCGCCACCCAUAAGCAGAGUAGGCCACCGCGUAGAGCGCACUCUGCCUGGGGGCGCCGGCGCUCUGGAGUCCGAAUUCCGAGUACUAUUAGCCGCCGCCGUGCCACGCCCCCUACUUGUGAGAUCCAUCCAUCUAAUUUCCUACUAGCCGCCGCCCGCGUCACGCCCCUACCUGUGAUCCAUGUCUGACAUCAUCUGACUGCUGCGCCUCCUCUGCAUUAAUGAUCUGACUCCUCCUGCUGUUUGGGUGUUCCUAGUUGCCGCCGCCGGC